AGGGGCCACCACCACUGCUCCAGGGGCCUUUACCAUUGUCACUACAGCAGCCAUCACCACUACUCCAGGGACCACUACCACUGCCACUACAGAAGCCACCACCACUGAUCCAGGGACCACCACCACUGCCACUACAGGAGCUACCACCAUUGCCACUACAGCAGCCACCACCACUGCUCCAGGGGCCACCACCACUGCCACUACAGGAACCACCACUACUGUUCCAGGGACCACCACCACUGCCCCUACAGAAGGUACCACAACUGUUCCAGGCACCACCACUGCCUCUCCUGCCACAUCUUCAAACACUCAGGCCACAACAUCUGCUGCUACUGCCACAACCCAAAUAGCUUCAACCUCUACCACAGAAGACAGUACACUGACCACUGAUGAUAAUACCAAUGCAGAAUCCCUUGAAGCAACAACUGCUAGGAUUGUGGACACUACUGAACCAGCUGGAGAGGAUACCACUUUCCUUGCAACAGAUGAAAUAACUUCACCAGGGCCUGAAGUUACCACCUCACCUACUGAUGGCUCAAACCCAGCAGAUGACUCUACCACUGGAGCUACAGAAGCCACCACUACUGUCACUACAGGAACCACCACCACUGCUCCAGAGGUUACCACCACUGCCACUUUAGGAGCUACCACCACUGCUCCAGAGGUUACCACCACUGCCACUUUAGGAGCUACCACCACUGCUCCAGGGGCCAACACCACUGACACUACAGGAGCCACCACCACUUCUCCAGGAGCCACCACUGCUACUACAGAAUCUACCACCACAGAUUCAAGGGCCACAACAGGAGCUACCACCACUGCUCUAGGAGCUAUCUCCACUGACACUACAGAAGGUACCACCACUGUUCCAGGCACCACCACUGCCUCUCCUGCCACAUCUUCAGACACUCAGGCCACAACAUCUGCUGCUGCUGCCACAACCCAAAUAGCUUCAACCUCUACCACAGAAGAUAGUACACUGACCACUGAUAAUACCAAUGCAGAAUCCCUUGAAGCAACAACUGCUGGGGUUGUGGACACUACUGAACCAGCUGGAGAGGAUACCACUCUCCUUACAACAAGUCCUGAAAUGACCACCCUAGAAGAGUCUACCUCCUCUCCUGCUGCUAUGACCACUUCUGCCACAGGAGCCACAGCCACUCCAGAAGCUGCUGCUACCACUCCAACUGAGACCACAAGUGCUGUUAGCCCAUCAUCAGACUCUACAACUAUAGCUUCUGAGGUCACCAGCAGAGCAGUGGGCACCACAAUUUCUGCUGAGGAUGCUGCCACUACAGAGGGCACAACUUCAGGCACAGAGGCCACCUCCCUAGAUGUUACCACUGAAAGUCCCACCACUGAAGAGAGUAGUACCAGCCCUGCUCCAGUCUCAACAGCAGCAAUGACUACCAGAAUGAAUGUGAGGAGCUAAAGGAGAGAAUGUGUUGGUAACAUCGAUGACCAUGGCAAAAUACAGGGAAGGUGGUAACUUAAGAAACAAUAACCAGGGGCAGGGGCUAAAAUGGCCUCAGAGUUGCAGGAACUUUUGGAAUCUCCUUCCGACUGAUCACUACAAAAUAUCUCAAAAGGACAAAAAUCAAAAUCAGACGAGUAAGGGGAACUCCCAUGGGGUGCAGCCUUAAAUGUAGGCAGUGCUUGGAGAUUUUCACAUUAUAAGGAUGCAAAACUACACUUAUCAAAGCAUGAGCCAAUCACCCCUCCCCACCACCACCUACCAUGCCAGAGUAAGAGGGAGGGCUAAGGGCCAGGCAAUCUGUAAAUUCUCUGGGGCUGACUGAGCCCACCACAGACUUACUCCUGAGGGCAAAGCAAGACCUUGGCAGAAAGGCUGAAGAGCACAGAGCCUGAGCAACAGAGCAAGGAGCUUGGACAGAAACAAGGCUGACCACAGGCAGGCAGCUGGGACUGGAAAAAUAGCCUCAGGGCAAACUUCUUUAAAGUGCCCUACACAAAUAACUGCCUGGAAGAUACACCCAAUGCAAAGCCCAGUAAGACAGAAGCUAAGAAAGCAAUGUCCACCAACAUGCAGGAACCAUAAUCCAUAAGUAGCAAAAGAAAUACGUUGCAACAACAACAAAAAAAAAAUCUUUUGAUCCUGGAUAAUUUCUAUGGAGAAAAAAAAAACAAAAUACAGAAGCAACAACAGACAGUGACAAAUGAGCAAACACAUCCAAACUUUUUUUAAAAAAUGAAAAUUGGUCACAAUAUCUUGAGGGACUUAAAAAGGAGUUCAAGGACUAAAUAAGAAAGAUAGAAAAAAUGGGAAGAAAAGUGAGGAAAAAAUGAAAGUAAUCCAAAAAGAAAAUAACUUAAAAGACAUGAUUUUUCACAUGGAAAAAGAGGCAGAGAAAUUAAAUGAAAUAAUAAGCAAAUUGGAGACCAGAAUCGACUUGCUAGAAGCCAUGAAAAGCAGAAUAGACCAAACGACUGAAAAGGAAAAUCAAAAGAUCAUAGUUGAAAAUCACUCUUUAAAGACUAGAAUUGGGCAAAUAGACACUAAUGAUCUCACAAGACAGCAAGAAUUAAUAAAGCAAAAUCAAAAGAAUGACA
rnacentral:lncRNA from 1 species